UACGUAGGGUGCAGGCGUUAAUCGGAAUUACUGGGCGUAAAGCGUGCGCAGGCGGUUUGUUAAGACAGGUGUGAAAUCCCCGGGGCUUAACCUGGGAACUGCGCUUGUUACUGGCAAGCUGGAGUGUGGCAGGAGGGGGGUGGAAUUCCGACGUGUAGCAGUGAAAUGCGUAGAGAUGUGGAGGAACACCGAUGGCGAAGGCAGCCCCCUGGGCUAACACUGACGCUCAUGCACGAAAGCGUGGGGAGCAAACAGG
rnacentral:rRNA from 1 species